AUUGAACGCUGGCGGCAGGCCUAACACAUGCAAGUCGAGCGGAUGAAGGGGGCUUGCUCCUGGAUUCAGCGGCGGACGGGUGAGUAAUGCCUAGGAAUCUGCCUGGUAGUGGGGGAUAACGUCCGGAAACGGGCGCUAAUACCGCAUACGUCCUGAGGGAGAAAGUGGGGGAUCUUCGGACCUCACGCUAUCAGAUGAGCCUAGGUCGGAUUAGCUAGUUGGUGGGGUAAAGGCCUACCAAGGCGACGAUCCGUAACUGGUCUGAGAGGAUGAUCAGUCACACUGGAACUGAGACACGGUCCAGACUCCUACGGGAGGCAGCAGUGGGGAAUAUUGGACAAUGGGCGAAAGCCUGAUCCAGCCAUGCCGCGUGUGUGAAGAAGGUCUUCGGAUUGUAAAGCACUUUAAGUUGGGAGGAAGGGCAGUAAGUUAAUACCUUGCUGUUUUGACGUUACCAACAGAAUAAGCACCGGCUAACUUCGUGCCAGCAGCCGCGGUAAUACGAAGGGUGCAAGCGUUAAUCGGAAUUACUGGGCGUAAAGCGCGCGUAGGUGGUUCAGCAAGUUGGAUGUGAAAUCCCCGGGCUCAACCUGGGAACUGCAUCCAAAACUACUGAGCUAGAGUACGGUAGAGGGUGGUGGAAUUUCCUGUGUAGCGGUGAAAUGCGUAGAUAUAGGAAGGAACACCAGUGGCGAAGGCGACCACCUGGACUGAUACUGACACUGAGGUGCGAAAGCGUGGGGAGCAAACAGGAUUAGAUACCCUGGUAGUCCACGCCGUAAACGAUGUCGACUAGCCGUUGGGAUCCUUGAGAUCUUAGUGGCGCAGCUAACGCGAUAAGUCGACCGCCUGGGGAGUACGGCCGCAAGGUUA
rnacentral:rRNA from 1 species